rnacentral:rRNA from 1 species
AGAGUUUGAUCAUGGCUCAGAACGAACGCUAGCGGGAUGCCUCAAACAUGCAAGUCGUACGAGAAAGUUCCCUUCGGGGAGCGAGUACAGUGGCGCACGGGUGCGUAACACGUAGCUAACGUACCCCUUCGCUGGGGAUAACUCCGGGAAACCGGAGCUAAUACCGAAUAGUCUGAUACGGUCUGCGGGCUGUAUCGGUAAAGCCUUUGGGCGCGAAGGGAUCGGGCUGCGGUCCAUUAGCUUGAUGGUGGGGUAACGGCCUACCAUGGCGACGAUGGAUAGCUGGUCUGAGAGGAUGAUCAGCCACACUGGAACUGAAACACGGUCCAGACUCCCACGGGAGGCAGCAGUUGGGAAUAUUGGACAAUGGGCGGAAGCCUGAUCCAGCAAUCCCGCGUGAGUGAUGAAGGCCCUCGGGUCGUAAAGCUCUUUCAGCAGGGAAGAAGAUCUGACGGUACCUGCAGAAGAAGCACCGGCUAACUCCGUGCCAGCAGCCGCGGUAAUACGGAGGGUGCGAGCGUUGUUCGGAAUCAUUGGGCGUAAAGCGCGUGUAGGCGGCUUGGUAAGUCUGGUGUGAAAGCCCGGGGCUUAACCCCGGAAGUGCAUUGGAUACUGCCUGGCUAGAGGACGAGAGAGGAAAGCGGAAUUCCUGGUGUAGGGGUGAAAUCCAGAUAUCAGGAGGAACAUCAGAGGCGAAGGCGGCUUUCUGGCUCGUUACUGACGCUGAGNNGCGAAAGCGUGGGGAGCAAACAGGAUUAGAUACCCUAGUAGUCC